rnacentral:misc_RNA from 1 species
GGGAAGGCUUGGCUGUAUUUUUGUUGGAUUGCUGUGAAAAGCCAUUUGUCUGUAUUUCAUAUGGUGAAAGAGUGAGUGGCUAGUGGUGGGUGCGUAGGAUAAGCGGGCAAAUUUGUUAAAAGGUCAUUCACUACUCCACAAGUUGCCAAUGGUUGAAUUUGAAGAAGACUUGUGCUUCUCUCGGAUAGCGCUGGCUGCUUUGAGCAUACCUGAUCUUGUUCUGUGAGUCUGCGUCUGAGAAUCAAUUGAAAUUUUGUUCUGUAGGCUAUGGCGAGGCAUGUGAACAUGGUGGCCUCUUUUUUGGUGGUGUUUUUAUUGACACCAUUGACACAUGCUGUUGCUGGAAGUAGAAGCAGCUUGUCUCAGCAGAAGCUGGAGGUUCAGGACCACUUGAAGCGCUUGAACAAGCCUCCAGUUAAAUCCAUCAAGGUCUUUCCUUUCUAUUUUCCCUUCUUUCUCCUCUUUUUCUUAUUCCCCUUUUCGGUUUUCAAGUCAGCGGCACUGAGCUCAACCCAACUGGUUUUUUGGGCGGUUGGAGAUUAAUUGAGGUUUUCUUUUUAACGACUCCUUGGCCUUCUGUUGGUCUUCCAUGCACUCAUAUUGUGGAAUUUUGAUUCUGCAUCAGAAAAACUAAAAUUUGCCAACGGUCUUAUGUGUUAUGCCUAGAACAGAGUCCAGAUGGGGACAUAAUCGACUGCGUUCAUAUUACGCACCAAACGGCUUUUGAUCAUCCUUUGCUCAAAAACCAUAAAAUUCAGAUGAGACCGACCUUCUACCCAGAAGGACUUCUCAGUGAAAGCAAGGUUUCGUCAAAUUCCGAGGAAGAAUCAAACCCCACUACCCAGUUGUGGCACUUGAAUGGAAGAUGCCCAAAAGAAACAAUUCCCAUCAGAAGAACGAGAAAAAAUGAAAUAUUAAGAGCAAACUCUGUCAAAAGUUUUGGCAUGAAGAAGCACCUCGCUAUGCCUCAACCCAGAUCUGCAGAACCUGACCUCAUUAGCCAAAGUGGCCAUCAGGUGCUACUGCUAAAUCCAUUAUGGAAAUUGCUUGCCUAGAUAAAAGAAGCAAUUCCUCAAUUACUUAAAAAAUGAAAAAAUUGUUAGGAAAAUGAUGUUGGGAAAAGAAAAGAAAAAAUCCUUUUAGCCUUUUAUGACUUAUGGAAAUAUAUUUUUUAACCUCUUUGGAAUCUUUUAGCAUGCAAUAGUUUAUGUGGAAGGAGACAAGUAUUAUGGAGCCAAAGCAACAAUAAAUGUUUGGGCACCCAAAAUACAACAGUCUAAUGAAUUCAGCUUAUCUCAAAUCUGGAUCCUAGGGGGUUCUUUUGGUGAAGAUCUUAAUAGCAUUGAAGCUGGCUGGCAGGUCUUAUCAUCAUUACAAUUUUUCUCUAAUAGUUGUUCCAUAAAAAUUACUUAUAGCAUCAGUUUUUCUUUUAUUAUUAAAUGCCAUUAUUGGUCGAUUGUUAUCUCUGUAUAAAA